CAACCUCAACUCAUAUGGGACUACUCCCUGAAUUUAAGCAUAUUAAUUAGGGGAGGAAAAGAAACUAACAAGGAUUUUCUUAGUAGCGGCGAGCGAAAAGAAAUCAGUUCAGCACUAAGUCACUUUGUCUAUAUGGCAAAUGUGAGAUGCAGUGUACGGAACAUCAACAUUCUAGUAUGAGAAGUUAACGAUUUAAGUCCUUCUUAAAUGAGGCCAUUUACCCAUAGAGGGUGCCAGGCCCGUAUAACGUUAAUGAUUACUAGAUGGUGUUUCCAAAGAGUCGUGUUGCUUGAUAGUGCAGCACUAAGUGGGUGGUAAACUCCAUCUAAAACUAAAUAUAACCAUGAGACCGAUAGUAAACAAGUACCGUGAGGGAAAGUUGAAAAGAACUCUGAAUAGAGAGUUAAAUAGUACGUGAAACUGCUUAGAGGUUAAGCCCGAUGAACCUGAAUAUCCGUUAUGGAAAAUUCAUCAUUAGAAU
rnacentral:ncRNA from 1 species